UGUAGGCUCUCAAAUGAGAAAAGACAGA
rnacentral:piRNA from 1 species